rnacentral:tRNA from 2 species
GGCGGUAUAGCUCAGUUGGCUAGAGCACUUGGUUCAUACCCAGGGGGUCGCUGGUUCGAAUCCUGCUGCCGCUACCA